rnacentral:sRNA from 1 species
GCUGGGCGUGGUGGCUCACGCCUGUAAUCCCAGCACUUUGGGAGGCUGAGGCAGGCGGAUCACCUGAGGUCGGGAGUUCGAGACCAGCCUGACCAACAUGGAGAAACCCUGUCUCUA